GAUGAACGCUGGCGGCGUGCCUAAUACAUGCAAGUCGAGCGAACAGACGAGGAGCUUGCUCCUCUGACGUUAGCGGCGGACGGGUGAGUAACACGUGGAUAACCUACCUAUAAGACUGGAAUAACUUCGGGAAACCGGAGCUACUACCGGAUAAUAUAUUGAACCGCAUGGUUCAAUAGUGAAAGACGGUUUUGCUGUCACUUAUAGAUGGAUCCGCGCCGCAUUAGCUAGUUGGUAAGGUAACGGCUUACCAAGGCGACGAUGCGUAGACGACCUGAGAGGGUGGUCGGCCACACGGGAACUGAGACACGUUCCAGACUCCUACGGUAGGCAGCAGUAGGGAAUCUUCCGCAAUGGGCGAGAGCCUGACGGAGCAACGCCGCGUGAGUGAUGAAGGUCUUCGGAUCGUAAAGCUCUGUUAUUAGGGAAGAACAAAUGUGUAAGUAACUAUGCACGUCUUGACGGUACCUAAUCAGAAAGCCACGGCUAACUCCGUG
rnacentral:rRNA from 1 species